CAGACACGCUUCCGCACCCACGCGCGAACUACGGCUCCCGGCAGGCAGCGCGGCCGCCGGGCCCCGCGCACCUCAGGCGGCGGGACGCGCGGGGCAUGCUGGGUGCUGCAGUCCCCCUGCGCGGGGAGCAUGGCGGCGCGGCCCUGCCCGAGCGGCUCGCUGGGGGCCCCGCGCUGCGCUCCGCGGCUUCCCCAGGCGGGAGACGGAGGGCCGUGUACUGCCCCCGGGCGGAGGCAGCGGCCUCGGGCCUGCGGCCAGGUCCGGUGCCGGUGAGCCCUCACGGGCGCGGCCCCGCUGCUCCCUGCCCGCAGGGAGCAGCCGGAUUGUGCGUGCACCUCCCCCGCGGGAGCCCGUGAGCUGCUUCUCGCCCGCCGCAGCCCUCUUCAGGCACAUGACGGGAGGCUCCGUGCCAUGUGCCAGGCCCUGUGCAGCGUGCUGAGGAGCGACGGCCACUACAAGCAUCCCCGGGAAUGCUCAACUACUUAAGCAUCCCUAGUACUUGUGUAGCAAGUACCACAGAUGUUCGUGCCUCGGUGGCACUCCCAGGGUCAGUGUGACUGGACCCAAGGGCUCAGAGCAGCAGGCACAUGGGGCUUCACAACAGCUCCUUCCCAGAGAGUGUUUGCCUUGCUAGCAGCCAGGAUUUUGACAGGGAGAAGCCUGACAGCCCACAGUCUGCAGGGAGUCUAUAAACAGCAGGUUCUCCCGAGGUUUUUCCUCCUAGCAUGUCAGUAGAGAUACCUUAACACAAGAACAGCGUGGGCUGGUUGGGAAUUUGGCCUGUAAGACAGUGCUGUGAACUUCAUGAUGGGAUUGGGUUGGGAGGCAGCCACUAUCAGCGACAACCAGGGAUAGGGAAAUUCUUGAGUUGCCAUGCAUCUUUUACCAGGUUUUUUAACAGGCAUAGUGACACACUGCAUGUUCUCAUAAGUUUUCUAGAUCCCUUUCUCAUACGAUGAACUGAAGGAAGCCACUUUUUGGGAAGCCUCAAGGUUACAUAGUAAAGGAGGCUGUUAACUGCCCUCCACUCAUUUCCUGCAGAAGUUGAAAGGGUGGAUUGAUAAUGUUCUGUUCAGGGACAGCAGGCUGAGGCCUCCCUCAGGACUGCAAAGGGAAAGAGAUAGCCUCAAAGACCACGAGAAUUCAUCAGGAAUUGGCCCCAGGACUGACCCCCGGCCAAACCGCUGGUCUUGGGAGACACAUGAAGCCUUCUGACAAAUGGGGUGUUGGGAUGAUUAAGAGAUGACUUGAAGACUCAGGAAGAGAUGCUGCAGCCUCCUGCCCCUGGAGCACGGUGAAAUAAAGGUGAGUUCACUCAGAUCCUAGCUCUGUGUCGCCUACCUGUUUAAUCUCUCAUGUGCCUGCCUAGGGAUGGACUACGGUGAACUUGUAUAGCCUUUUCCAUCUUAAAUUACUAAAAGGCUAAGUAAACCUGCUGUGAGAAGAAGGAAGAACCUAUGUAAAUGUUUAGGUUCCUAAGUACAGGUUUAAAUCUUAUUGAAGUCCAUAGAAUUUAAAGUACGUGCUUAAAUGUUUUGCUGAAUAGGGAUAUGUUGCUGAAUCGUGGCCAAGACUUCUGAAGUUGACAUACUGUUCCUCAUGAAAUUACUGAUGUGCUCAGUAUCAACCCUGCACUUAAAUGCAUUGUUAAAGGGGAACAGGCUUUUGCAGGGCUUCUGUUUGUUCUCUACAAGAGCAUCUGGCUGAUCAGGGAUUCAGAAUAAAGUUGAUGAGUAAAACUGAUAGAAAAUAAAAAGCCUAACCAGAGCAGGAAAUUGUGGGAUGAGCCAGGGCAAGAAUUUUCUAGACAACUAAGCUGCUAUUGACAACUUAGAGUUGUUCAGUACACUCUGCUGUGCUGUUUCCUCUCGUUUGGAAAUUUGUUUUCCAGCAAACAAAAAAGAGAUCAGGAAUUUUAUUGGAAAUGUAUCAUCUUCAUUGUUAUAAAUCAGGGGUCCUCAAACUACAGCCUGUGGGCUGGAUACAGCCCCCCAGGGUCCUCAAUCCGGCCCCCGGUAUUUACAGAACCCUCCCGCCUCCCCACCAGGGGUUGGGGGGGGAAACCAAGCAGCCACAGAUGACUGCCUGCCACCUCAUCUGCACGCCGGCCCCCUGUUUAAAAGGUUUGAGGACCCCUGUUAUACAUUGUCUGAUUUCCUUCCAUUUGUGUCCGUCACCUGAGGAUAUGCCCAAAUGUUUACAUCGGCAGCAGGCUAAAACUCAUGGUGUGAACAGGAAACAAAGGAGUUUAACACUGUCUGUCACUGCAUAAUAAUUUCCAGUACCCUUUUCUAACUUUCUUUUUCUGUCUUCCACCACUUUGCAACAAACCCUCCGGUCCAGCCAUGUGUCAAACCUGCAAUGUACCCUGAUGCUCCUGCAGCAAACUGCGGGUCAACGUAUCUGUUUGCAGUUAAGCAUAUAUAUGCUGACAGGAUUUGCUGGUUGUGGCUGGAGUGAUCAGCAGUGAUGAGAUUAAACCAAAAUUUUUGAACAAAACAUCGAUGAGACUUUAGACAUCAAAGAUAGUCUUAAACAACUGCCUCUGAACUUCAAAGAAGAUCAGGUUUAGGUUCAAACAUUGCACCCUAUAGCUGUUCAAAUGAAAAUCCACAGUGAGGUUUGUGCCUGUCGUUCCUUAUCGGAAACACGAGCCUCAACAGUGUGGCAGCAUGCCUUCCCCUUCUGUGGCACGGCAUUAUCCUUUGCCCUCGGUUUCUCUCCUUCUUGGCAUUGGUGGCUUCCUGGAGGUCAGACACCAAGAAAAAAUUGUUGGGCGUCGAUUUCUGAAUCCCAGCCAUUCUUACGUGUGCAGGUAAGUAGAGAGCAAACCCCCAAGUUAAAGCAUUAAGUAAACAACACACUGAGGAGCGCUGGGGGGUUGCUGCUGCCGGCCGCCCUGCUCCUGCCGAGUGCCACCGCAGCCACCGCUGCCACGGUCCCCACUCGCCCCCUGGCCCGCAGUGCUUCUGAAAAAGAGGAAUGGGAAAAAUGCUCUUCAAAUGACGGCAAGCCAAGCCGUUGUCCGCUGGGUAAAACAUGAGGCUCCAUCUGAUCCCUCUUUUCAUUGCGCCCAGCUCUGUGCUAGAGUGCUUUUUGUUGCUUUCAGUAGCUUUCCUUUGCCAACAAAUAACAGGCGUUAAGGAUAGAAAACAAUAAAAUUACGUGAGGAGAGAACAACAAUCAGUACACAAAGAUAAACAUCAGCAAUAAGCACUUUCAGCUGCCAGCCCUACAACAUGUAUAAAUACAGAGGGGUGGGGGGAGGGGAGGGAACAGCAGCAGUGAGUGCAGAUCCAAGGGACGGUGUUCAGGCUCCUGGCAGGGCCUGGGGAAAGCCCACAUGGUUCAAGAGUACUGGAACUACAAAUAGUUUAGGCAGGAGAGCCCACCGCUCCCAAAUGCCACAUGACUGCAUGUCCCCUUGGCUUCCUGCAGCUGAAAAUUGAGCUGUAGGGUUAAUGUGGUGUGUCCAACAGCCAGGAAGCAAAGGUGGCAUACGUGCCAGAAAACUGACCCUCUGAGAGCAAAAGAGGAAAAAAAGAUAUUUUUUUCCUUUCUCUAUGAUAUUGAAGUUUAGUCUACAAAUAGAAUAGCAUGGUUUGUGUUUAUAGGGGAAGAGGAGCUUUGCUAGGUACUUGCUAGAGACGUUUUUCACUGUCUAGUAUUCAUUUCUAGAUGGCAGGUCUCAGCUUUGCCAUUCUCCUCCCAGUCUCAAUGCUGCCCAGCCCAAAUCGCAAGUUGCUAUUAUUUUGUGAAGGACAACUUUGAAUCUGGUUAAAAGAAUGUCACCUCUUGCCACAGACUGCUUGGAGGAAAGCAGAGCUUUCUGCCUGGCGCUGCUUUGAGUCCUGGGGUGUCGGAGGUGGUCCAGCAGGGGGGACCGUGAUGGGCUGGGUGCAGGUGAAUGGUGAGGGGCACACGCCGUGUUCGGUUUCCCAAGUGGCUCUGUGGCUGGCAGCCAGGUGGCCCCUGCAGCCAGAAGCAGAGCCUCUGCACUACUUCUACAUUCUCCUUUUCUUUUUUUCUCUUACCUGCUGACAUUAAAACUGCAGACCGUUUCAGCUGAACUUUACACACAUAGGAAGUGCGGCUGGCAACAGAUAUUCUCUGGGGUACAAAACCCUACAAACAACUGCUCUCAGAAGUAAAAGUUUUAAAACACUGGUGUUUUAACUGCUUCCCUGCUAGUAAAACCGAUGGGCAUUCAGUUUCUAAUACCACUCUCCCCUCCUUUCUUCCAAAGUUUCAGCCCAGGCGCCAUGCUACCAUUUUGCAGCUGCCAAAGACCAUUUUGAACUGCUGAAUUUAUUAAAAGGAUUAAGUGAAGUAGCUACUACAAUGAGAAGCCAUUUGAUUUAGUGUCCAAGGAGCUCCUUUCCAGGCAGAUACAGGCUUGGUGUCAGUGGAGGGGCACUGCGGCUGCACAAGUCAGCUGUGCUCAGCCACGAGGACCACUGCAGGUGGGGUGGGGCAGACACGGAGAUCCUAUUGCCCUCAAACACACCAAAUAGGUAUUUCCUAUUUUCCCAACAUCUGUGAAACUCAGAGGAAAAACUGAUGAACCAUCAUCCAUGUGACAGGGGAUUUGUCAUGUGCAGACUGUGACUUUAGGUACAACUUGCAUGGAACAACAGGAGGGUUUCAUCUGAUUCAAGGAAUCACGUGCUAUGGAAAAGCAUUACAGAUUCUCCAAGUCAGAGCCAUCCUCCCCCAUCUCAGAUUGUUGCUUUGAUAAAGAGGGAUGGAUACAAACCUUGGAACAAACAAAACCUACUAUUUACUUUAAGGAAUACUAAUAUGAAAUGGAUAAAAUACCUCCUGAUUAUAUUCAAGGACUGUCAUAAUGAGAAAAUAUUUUCAGCUUUGAUUAAAUAGAAAUGGUGCUUUUCAGUGCUUGAGGCAGACACAAGUAAGCUUGCACAGCAGCAAAUCGGAUAGCAGUUUUAAAAUACCUUAAAUGUGGUCAUUGUUGUCUGUAGAGCUCCUUUGAAUAUGUUUCUUUAUGUCUGAAAUGAGGCUUUUAUAGAUUUUUUCUUUUUUUCCUAUUGUUUUUCCAAUUUUUACCAAUUCUAUUUUCAAGCAGAGAGCUCGGAGAAGUGACUUGUUUAGAGUCACAUAAUAGAUUAGUGGCAGAGAUGUAGAAAAAACAUCCCAGUCCACUGAUCUCCAGGCCUAAACCACCUUUCUUGGUCACUCCUUGGUGGUGUUACAGCCUCCUAGCUUGUGCAUUUUGCCUGUUUUUCUCCAACGCUUUGUACUAAAGUUACACUAAGCACUGAGGAACAAAACCAGAAGUUACUUCACAUAUUGAUUUGUCUUUUUAAACUUGAAAUUGCUUUAGUCAACUCUUCAGAAUGUCUAUUGUUUCUUUCUUAGCCUACUGACGAGAUUUUUCAUCUAAUCCAGUCUCCCAGUUUUAGCAGAAGCCAGUGGCAAAAGCAAUACCAAUGUUAAAUGGAUUGUUAUAAACUGCAGGAUGCAGUUCUAUUCCUGCACAAAAAACUGCCCAUCACUUAACCUCUCUGUGGCUGCCUGGUGUAGUACAGCAACACCUGAGCUAGCUUUAAAUUAGCUAGGUGUGACAGCAUUAGCACUUGAACUGCAACAGCACGGGGCUCAGCACCGGCUGGGAAGAUUAUGUUCAGUAUUGCAUGGAGCUCUCAAUACUUGCAGUGAAAGAAACAGCAAAGUAGUAUCUCCAUGUUAUAAAACACUGUCCUCAAAAUCUCAUUGUACUUAGUUCUGCUAGACAAAACUGCUGGAUGCAUACAUCGCAUUCGUUUCCUUUUUGCAUCUGGAAAUGGUGAAGUUAGUACAGUGACAAACUGGCCGUGAAACCGAUAGUCUGGGGCUGCAGAAAGCCAGCAUGCACCGCCCUUUCUUUCAGGUCAUAAUUAGUAUGAGACUCUAGGACAAGCCCGUACUGAGUAAUGCACAUGUGAGGAUGCUGAAAAUACUCAGCUCUGCCUCGUCCUUUGCUCUGCACCCAUGUUGAGCGUCACUCAGCUUAACCAUAUGGAGCCCAACCCAAAGCCCUUUAUUGCCAGGCAGCAGGAAUGACCCCCACACAAGGAAUCUCAUCAAAAUUUUCAAGCAUCAGAUUAACAUUCAGUUUGAUGCUCCCUUAGCUGUAUUUUGCAUUUUUUUCUUUUCUUUAGGGAGAGGCAGGAUGUCCACAAGCAGGCUUAGUCCACCUUCAAGAAUCAAAGAGAAACCAGCACAAGGUUUAGCAACCACCUCAAGAAGAAAGACCAACAGUAGCCCAUGUUUGAUAGUCUCCUUGCACACUCUAAUAUGUCUUCUAUAGCAUAUCAGGAUGAUUAAUGAAAUCUAAGCAUGGCUGGCUGUCAAUAGACCAUUUGUAAACAAGUUAACAAUAGCUUCAGUUUUCCCAAGUGAACUUUUAAAUAAAUGACUCCUCCUUUCAGUGAAAUAAGUAAAUAAACAAACCGAGCUGACAAUAGGCAUCUUUUUGAAACACAGGAUGGAAAAGAGGAUUACAUUUUUGUCAGAUACACUUUUUGCCACUGGGAGGGAAAGCAGAAUCUCUCUUUCUCUCUGCCAAAAUACCCUGUUUAAAUGCUGCUGAGAUGCAUGAUUUAACAAAGUUGUUUCAUCCCCAUCAGGGAAAACUCUUAUCUGUACUGGAGGUCAUAGUAACUCCUUGAAAAGAAAAUAGACAUAAUGUUUUCAAGCUGUGAGAAAACACAUCUAGUAAUUUUUUACUGGCUCAUCAAGACAGUUUAAUACUGAGGUGAUAAUGAAAUGACCUCAUAACUCUUGCUCUUGGGUUAUGACAGGCCAGUCUGGUAAAUUGAAUAGUUCUGCUAUCACAUGGGAAACAAGUCCUGCUUUAUAUUAGCUGGAAAGAAACACUAUUAUUAGUGUUCAAAGUAGCUGCAGUUCUACAGCAAGCAGCAUAUCUCCAGCCAUAAUGCUUUCCAGCAGAAGACGCAGCCUUGGUGAGUCCUUCCCUCUGGCCUUCUAGGUGGUCUUUCCUACAGCGCUAACGAUAGGUCUGUCAGGGUGAUUUAUGGCGUUUGUCCAUGCCUCUGCGUUCUUUGCUCCUCAGCUUUGGGUCAGCUCUGCUCUCCAGCGCUCUGUGGUUGUUCUUCACACAUAUUCAAUAAUCGCACAGACCAAGACUUUGUUUUUCUACAUUUGUGUUUUCUUUCAUUCUGCCUGUCUGAGAGUUUUCAGUAACACUCACCGCCACAGGAUUCUGCUUUUAUUUCAUCUCUCAGCAAAGCUUGAGCUAAUCUGCUGCCACCAACGGUCCUCUCUGCUGCCUCGUAAUUACAAGCGUGCACGCAAACACAAACUAGAAGUAUACAGUCACAUUACUGCUAGUUCUGGGUCCUUGUACCUCUCAUGCUUGAUCCACAUCCCAUUAAAAAUCAGUAGCAAGUUCACCAUAAAUGUCAACAGGAGUUUUAACAAGCCCACUUUAUCUAAUGCGGGGAUGGACUGAAUUCUCCUGUGCGGCACACAGAAGGAAAUACUACAGCACAUAAAGCCCACUUCCAUGCUUCUCCUUGCAUGCAGUCACACUAACGUGAAGUGUUGGUUACCAGUUUUUGAGAGAAAAACACUGAGCAGGGCUGUGGCAGGAAGAAACUCUCUGCUCUGCAUUCCUGGGGCACUUUGGUCACCUCAUCAGAGCGCAAGCGAAAUGCCUCCGGGAUUGAGGUUGCACACUGUUCCAGAAGGCAGGAGCAGCAGCAAGUAAAACGUGUGACAGAGCCUGAGACUCCUCGGGAUGACAACCUCCUCAGGUACUUGUCUCGCUAAUAAUAAAUCACACAUCACUUGCUGCAUAGAUGCCAAAUAGGGCACCACCCAUUCUUUUCUAUUUAGCAACUGUUUCUAUACAGUGCUGAUUUACCUGAUCACAGUUCCAACAACCAAAGCAUCUCUGAGAUCAAUACUUUUAAUAGGAUCGGUAAAAUUUUGGAGGUCUACCUAAGGUGUUCUGAAGUAUUUCCAUUGAAAAAUAUAUAAAAAUAUGAAUUCCAGUGAAGGAACAGGCAGAUAAAAGAAACUCAGACCACUGUGUUAGUUUUAAUUAAAUGGGAGGAAGAAAGGGCUGUUGUAUGUGUUUUACACACAUGGGAUAAAACCCUACAGCUUUUCUGUACGUAAAAAUUCAUCUCAGGCCAAUGUGAGUUUUGCCUUAGUUGCAGAAUCAAGCCCAUAUUUACAUUUCUUUGCAUGCCUGAGCCUAUAUUUCAUGAUUAAAUAAAGUUCCACUGAUUAUGAAGAAUGGAAGCUCUGUCCAAGUCGGAAGCUUCCAGUCCCCAGUGGUUUACCCAGACUGUGGUUUGUCCCCAUCGUUUUAGAAGAGUAAUCAUUUUGAAAAGCAGCAACCAUGAAAACAAGCAAAUGAUAAAACAAACAAACAAAAAUUAGACGAGGAUGCAACUUUCACAGUGUUUUAUCAAAGAUGUUUCACCACCGCCUGAGAGUCAUGGUCUGCAAGAAAUGACACCGAAGUUGCCAGUGGAGCACAAAGCGCAGCUCAUCAAAUUAUGAGCUAAAAUUUCCAGGAAGUGUCUGUGAUUUGUUUCAUAUUUUAACUUGGGCUGCAGGAGAGACAGCAGGAAGUUUAGUUAAUUUGAACAGGAGAAAGCUAUUUCUUAUCAGUAAAAAACCUAGAAGAUACUGUAUUUUCUAAAAUUUUUGAGAUGUCAUAAGACACAAGGAACAAACUGAGGUAAGGCAUCUCUUGCAGUGGGAGUGUGAUAGGGGUAAAUGUAGCUGGCUGAGGUAACCCAAUGUGAAAACGUUGAUUUGGGACCCCAAAGCUGAUGGGAUUUUUCUCUUAGUCUGGGCUUGACUGACAACAGACACCAGAACUUUUCGCUGAGAGAUCCCACCUCAGUUUGUGCCUUUUCCUUACAUAAUCACAUUCUUGUCCUAGAGCCGGGAGAUGUCAAUCCUUCCCUCCUACGAGGUCUAGCUGUGCCAGAGACCCUGGAUAGUCUUCCUACAGCUGGGAACCAGAGACACUCCCUCAUCCCAACACUCUCUGCAUCUCAUAAUAAACAUCUCCUGGCUGGACCCAGGAAGACGACAGGAGAAGCAGGGGGUUCUCCUGUGGAGGACUAGCCAGGUCUGAGCCUGAUUGCUAGCGGCUAGAGGAACAUUAUAAGGGGCACUAAGUUUUUUUGUAGACCUGCUCAGGUGCCACAUUAAACCUUAAGCCCUAACUUCAGUUUUCUUCCAUUUGGGCUCAAUUAGGGAGUGCAGUUGCUCUCAAGUGGGGGUAGCAGGCUGAAAAAUCAAGGACAUUUAUCUCAGAAUUUUCAUAUAGUUUUCUGUUCAGGAGACGCAACAGAUUCGGAUGCCCCGAAGGGUUGACCUCGCUGAAACAAUGUGCUUGAGCAUUGCUGUGACCCUGUAUUUACUAAGCUUUGCUAGCAUUUUGGAGGUGAGAGUGUCUCUUGGCACUGCUGGAAUGAGAGACUUCUGCAGGAUGGUGGGAAGAAGCACAACAAGGAGGCAACAUCCUCUCCCUAGCAGGGAUCACCAGGAACAGCAUCAUUUUGGUUUACAGAAGUCUUUUGGAAUAUAUGGGGGGUGGUGGCGGUUUCUAGCUGACAAUGUCAGUCAUCCAGCUCAGAUGCUGACCUUGAACAUCAGGAAUGGCAGAUCACUGCUUUGAUCCUGUGAUCGAGGCUUUGGAUAAGCUCCUUCUAAAAACACCCCCAGAGAGACAGAAACUGAAUAAAGCUACUGGGUUGAGUAGCACUUACUGUGCUACCUAGAAGCCCUAAACUCUAAACAGUGAUGGACUGCGGAGUAACAUUACUUGACCUUAAACUUUAUGCCCCUGCCUUUUGGAAAUCUCCUUUGCUUAAAUAAUAAUAGUUCGGUUGGGGGAGCUCACACGAUUUAAAAACCUACCUAAAUACAAGUGACAUCAAGCUGUCACAGAAAGUGAUGGAGUACAGUGGCAGGGGACAGGAUUUUCUCUAGCAAAGUCUUAAAAUGGCUGAAACACCUGAGUGACAUCUGUUCUGCUGCCAGUGAACCGGUGUGGGAAGUACUUGAUGGUCCCACAGCCUUAGCAAUGCAUAUAGCCAAACCUGCCUGCUGGGAGGGAGCAAAGGGGGCAUCAACGAAGAGGGCAGGAAAGCUGUGCUGGUCCCUUCCAGCAGCCACCACCGUGGGAACACCUGGCUCCAAGCAGGGUUUGGGCAGGGUAAUGUGAGGUAAAGGUGAGAGCAGGAAUGAAGAGCAGCCUACAGCAAAGGCUUGGAAGGUGCAAGAGAUCAGGGGAUGGUUUGGGAGAGACAGACUGAAAAUGUAUAUGGAUGGUCCAGCCGGAUUUGUCCACAUGGAGGGGUUCAAUCACAUAUCUCUAGUGAGACUGCUGAAGCUGCAGGCCCUUUUCUGCACACCUCUCAGGCACUGCAGUCCAGACAGCACACGGCGCUGCUUGUUUCCUUUUAGCCGGCUGCUGCUGUGAGACGCUAUGCCACCCCAGUGAGACCCACGCUGCUGAGCUCUGGGCUGCGUGCCUCGCUAGUGGCGUGUGAGGUCUUACACCAGCACCAGAGCUGUUCCACCCCGGCAGGCUGGACCCACACAGGUGACGUACCGCUUCCAAGCCCCAGUGAUGUCACUGGGCAGACUAAAAGCAGAAUGUGGUUUGCAAGCAUGGGACCUGCUCACUUUCCCUGUACAUCAACAUGAAAACUACCAUCAACUCGUAUUUGCAGUAUCUGAACCGUAACAACCUGCUGAACUCUGUAUAAUCAGCUCAUGGCAAUGAAAGUCUUGUUCAGCACAUCUGGAAAACACUUCACUGGAGCAGUUUGGUAGCACUCCAUAAUCUCAUUGAGCCCGAUUCCCUACGUUUGCUCCUGUGGUCAGUUGGAAAACACUGAAUGUGGGGGAAAAGGCACUUUUUUCUUUUCUUGUGCCUAAUGUACCAUUGCAUUUAACUUAUCACCUUAUUUUAAGGAGAACCGUGCUCCAGAUGAGAUUGGCGCUUGGGACUCUAAGUCCCCACUUAGGGCUGGAGGAGCUUCUUAUAACUACCAUGGAGGCUAAAUUACCUGCUGUUUUCAGAGAAGCAGGUGCCUGCAAGCACUCCUCUGUGCACAAGAGAGAGAGGUUACUGAGAGGACAAGUAAUAAUAAUGGAACUACUUGUGGGCUGCAUCUGGCAUAUGGAGUCAUAUGAAGUUUUUUGUUCUGCACCUUUCUGAUUUCCAGGCAGCAAUAGCAUUUUCUUCUCUACAAGCAAAUAAUAGUAACAAAACAAAUAAACAAACAAAAUUUAAAAGUUUUCUAUACAAUACAGAUGUUAUUUUUCUGCUUAUAGAACAGAUACAGCUCUGUUUGUGUGGAGCGUAGCAGGUCAUGAGUAAACAAGCUGCAUGAGUGCACAGAAGUGCUGUCUAUCAUGGCCUGAGAGAAAGCUGCCAAGUGUUUAUCUUCCUUCAAGUGACACUACUCUCCAAGAACCAACUGAAAAACAUACAAUACUUAGAGUGGAGUGAGGGAAGAAAAUGCAUUUGCUAUUUGAAGAAAGUAGUUUAGACUGGCUGUGAAAGGUGUCCAAAUGAAAGGGAGCUUGUAAUGAGUUAUCAGGUUUCCAUUGAGCUCUUAACACUCUGAAAAAAUGUUUGAGGAUGCACAGGGUUAUGGCUAUGCAAGACAUUCGCUAUGGAAGAAUUUUAAGCCUCCUGGAAUACCAAAAUCUCAUUGGGAACUAAAAGUCCCAGUGUCCAAGUUCCUUGUUGUGGUGCCUGCUUUGGGCUGGGUAGUAGAGAAUAAUUUACAGUCCAUUCCAAAACUGCUGAGUCUAGACCAUGACUUAAGGGGAGUCUGCGUGGAAACACUAGCCAGCCCUGGCUGUGUUCCUAUUCGGGAUGGAAGAAAGGAAAGCUGUACGAAUCCAAGAGACUGAAUAAAGGUUUCCCUCUAACGUGCAUUUUUGCAGUAUGUCAAGGGUCUGAGUGACUCAUACCAUUCAGCGUUUGCCAUACCAGCAGAUAAGCCAGGCUGUUUGCACCAAGACCUUAAACGUGAACGGCAGGGGUCCUACACCCUGUCUGCAUCUGGCAUGAGCAUUGCCAUAGGUCAGAAAACACUGAACUGAGCCUGAUCACACUGAACACUGAAUGGCUCCAGCUGUGGCCAUGAGCAAGUCUACCCGCUCACUGAAGUUUCCUGGAAUAAAUGCUGGUUGAGAAAGCAACUGUGCUUUCAGAAAUACUUGAUCUUCUUUGUUAUGCUUUGCUUUUUAUGGUUUUGUUAAUGGUCAGAGGAACAAUUAAAUAAGAUCAGAAAUGUAAGGUUAAGUGAGGAUGUGAAAAGAAGGAGGCUCCAGCAGAGGAGGAGGGGAGUAUUGAUUUCUGUGGCUUGUCACAAUGUGAGGAGGGGUCACAAUGAGUCACCUUGUUGUCUAUGGACCAUAAUGAGUGCAACGGGAAAACAACCCUGGGAGAAUACCCAGGAGUCAAUAAGAAAAAAGAGGAGACAUUAAGAUCAAAGGCAAGGAUGGUACCAAAGUAGAGAUGGAAAGAACGGAUGUGGAAACAUGAGAAGUAAAGAAGAAAGGGGAAAAAUGAAGUGGCAGCACUGCAGAAGCAGUAAACUAAGGACAGGAUUUUCAAAAGCGCCUCACUGUCCUAAAAAAUUGUAAUUACUUUCCCACUGAUGCUGGCAACAAAAGUAGAGGUGGCAGAGUCAGGCUAGCAAUGAGCACUUUAAAAAAAAAAUCUCACCUUACAAUUACAUUGCUUUCUUACAACUGCUGCUGCAACAAUGAUGUCAAGUAAUACUCAUGGCUACUAUAUUACAGCCAGUGCCCACUUAGAUGUUCUGGAAAACUUCAGAUGUCUGUGGCGUUAAGACACCCAGCAGCAAUUACAAGGCAGGAACUUUCUGAGGCCCUCAGAGGCUGGUUAGAAAACUCACUUGUUUUAAAUAAUGUAAAAAUAUACAUUAUUGUGGAGCUUAGAAAAAUCUGUUUCUCAGAAUAAUUAAAAUGAGAUCACUAAAAGUCAAAUUGCAUUUCCAAACAGCUUAGGCUUCUAUGUGCUCUUUCAUUAUUCUGGUUUCCAAAGUGCAGCACUCGGGAAAAGUGCCAAGGUUGUGUCUCCACGGACUGGGCUUCUCCCUGUUUAUCAGAGGCGGAUCAGAGAGCAGGGAGUGGCACCGCGUGUCCCAGCGCUGCCCUGCCAGCGAGCCCCAGCCCUGACCUGGAGGGACCAUCGCUGGGCGUGAGAAGGCAGCUCAGGCUCCACACCUUCGAGACCUUUCGCAUCUUUGCUGAGCCUAAUAAGAAAGAAGCCAGUACUGCUGGUGAUGUUUGUGAUGCGUCCUUUUAUCCACAGGAGACUAUUGCUGUUCAUUUCAUUUCACAUUCUGCAUUGAUGAUUGAAUAAAUAGCUAAUGGCAAUUCUUUUGGUCACUACUACCUCGAACUGGGUUCGUUCCAGUGGUUUAGCAUCUCACUUUUUAUCUCUGAACUCAAACAUGCAGCAAGGGAUUUAGGGUCCUAAGACAUAAUUCAUUUGCAUUUCCACAGGGAUCAAAUUUGAAGUCUAACAGAUGAAAUAUUUACUGCUUGGACACAUUGGAAAGCUCAGAUCUUUAUGCUUAUUAGUUCAGAGUGCAAUAAUUAUUAGCUAGAGAGAAGGCUAUCUCUGCAAUCAAAAAGAAAACUAAAUAAAACCCACCUACACAGA